CACCGCGGUUAAACGAGGGGCUCGAGUUGAUAGCCUUCGGCGUAAAGAGUGGUUAAGGAACAAUUAAACUAAAGUCGAAUUAUCUCAAGGCUGUUAUACGCACCCGAGACCAUGAAGCCCAAGAACGAAAGUAACUUUAAAUACCCUGACGCCACGAAAGCUGUGAAACAAACUGGGAUUAGAUACCCCACUAUGCACAGCCGUAAACUUUGAUAUGAUAUUACAACAUUAUCCGCCUGGGGACUACGAGCGUAAGCUUAAAACCCAAAGGACUUGGCGGUGCUUUAGAUCCAUCUAGAGGAGCCUGUUCUAGAACCGAUAAUCCCCGUUAAACCUCACCCCCUCUGGUUUAUUCCGUCUAUAUACCGCCGUCGUCAGCCUACCCCGUGAGGGUAUAAUAGUGGGCCUAAUUGGCAAAGCCCAAAACGCCAGGUCGAGGUGUAACGUAUGAGGGGGGAAGAAAUGGGCUACAUUUCCUGUCUAAGGAAAUACGAAUUGUAUUCUGAAAUGAUUACAUGAAGGAGGAUUUAGUAGUAAGUAAAAAAAGAGUGUUUUACUGAAUAUGGCCCUGAAGCGCGCACACACCGCCCGUCACUCUCCCCAAGCUUAAAUCCAAAAAAAUCUUUAAUAACCCAAACGAGCAAAGGGGAGGCAAGUCGUAACAUGGUAAGUG
rnacentral:rRNA from 1 species